CGAAGUUGGAAUUGCUAGUAAUCGUGGAUCAGCAUGCCACGGUGAAUACGUUCCCGGGUCUUGUACACACCGCCCGUCACACCAUGGGAGUCGGUAACACCCGAAGUCAGUAGUCUAACCGCAAGGAGGACGCUGCCGAAGGUGGGAUUGACGACUGGGGUGAAGUCGUAACAAGGUACC
rnacentral:rRNA from 1 species